rnacentral:rRNA from 1 species
ACUACCUACGGGGGGCAGCAGUGGGGAAUAUUGCACAAUGGGGGGAACCCUGAUGCAGCGACGCCGCGUGAGUGAAGAAGUAUUUCGGUAUGUAAAGCUCUAUCAGCAGGGAAGAAAAUGACGGUACCUGACUAAGAAGCCCCGGCUAACUACGUGCCAGCAGCCGCGGUAAUACGUAGGGGGCAAGCGUUAUCCGGAUUUACUGGGUGUAAAGGGAGCGUAGACGGAUUUUUAAGUCAGCGGUAAAAUGUCCGGGCUCAACCCGGGCCGGCCGUUGAAACUGGGGAUCUUGAGUGGGCGAGAAG